GACGAACGCUGGCGGCGUGCCUAAUACAUGCAAGUCGAGCGGACUUGACAGAGCUUGCUCUGUUCAAGUUAGCGGCGGACGGGUGAGUAACACGUGGGCAACCUGCCCUGCAGAUUGGGAUAACUCCGGGAAACCGGGGCUAAUACCGAAUAACAUUGAAAACCUCAUGGUUUUCUUUUAAAAGGCGGCUUCGGCUGUCACUGCAGGAUGGGCCCGCGGCGCAUUAGCUAGUUGGUGAGGUAACGGCUAACCAAGGCGACGAUGCGUAGCCGACCUGAGAGGGUGAUCGGCCACACUGGGACUGAGACACGGCCCAGACUCCUACGGGAGGCAGCAGUAGGGAAUCUUCCGCAAUGGGCGAAAGUCUGACGGAGCAACGCCGCGUGAGUGAAGAAGGUUUUCGGAUCGUAAAACUCUGUUGUUAGGGAAGAACAAGUAUCGGAGUAACUGCCGGUACCUUGACGGUACCUGACCAGAAAGCCACGGCUAACUACGUGCCAGCAGCCGCGGUAACAC
rnacentral:rRNA from 1 species